rnacentral:lncRNA from 1 species
UUUGGUUAUCGAUUUGGGUUGGUCUUCUCUUCAAAUUAUAGUCAACGGUUGAAAACGCGUCAAGGGCUUUUCUCAUUGAUUCGAGAUCCUAUGAAGGAGAGUUGUUACUAGGGUUCGUUUUUAAUCUACGAGGAAUGAUGAAACCUACCUUCUUAUGGCUGCUUCUUGUUUUCGAUUUGGUUCUCAGAGUAGCUGGCAACGCCGAAGGUCUACUUCUCUUCGAUUAUUUAUUGUAUAAGCAAAGUUUUCUAUUUGACUUGAGUUAUGUUAUGUAAUUAAUUGAUUGCAAAGGUUUGAAAAGUGUUUUUUUGAUUCUUUCUUUUGGUUAAAACCGCAGGUGAUGCUUUGAGUGCACUGAAGAACAGUUUAGCAGACCCUAACAAGGUGCUCCAGAGUUGGGAUGCUACUCUUGUUACUCCCUGUACAUGGUUUCAUGUUACUUGCAAUAGUGACAAUAGUGUCACACGUGUGUAAGUUUCUUUUUUUUUUGUUUUCUGUCUCUCUGGCGCAAAGAAUGUUGCCUACUAAGAUCUUCAUCUUUGUUUAGUGACCUUGGGAAUGCGAAUCUAUCUGGUCAGCUAGUAAUGCAGCUUGGUCAGCUCCCAAACUUGCAGUACCUGUAAGUUCAUCUCUUCCUAAACAUGAUAUAUCUAGGUGAAGUAGCUUUGAUAACUUUUGUAAUAUGGAAGAAAAUGUAAUGAUACAGGGAGCUUUAUAGCAAUAACAUAACUGGGACAAUCCCAGAGACGCUUGGGAAUUUAACGGAGUUGGUGAGCUUGGAUCUUUACUUGAACAAUCUAAGCGGUCCCAUCCCAAAAUCUCUUGGCCGACUACAGAAACUCCGUUUCUUGUAUGCAACCCCCACUCUUCUCUUACUACCCCUUUUUUUUUAUAAUCAGCCUAACUAUUGUCUUCAGUUUCCUUGAAAAGCUAUUCCUACUUGUGUUUAGGCGUCUUAAUAACAAUAGCUUAUCUGGAGAAAUCCCAAGGUCUUUGACUGCUGUCUUGUCGCUUCAAGUUCUGUAAGUGUACCUUUUGUCUCUCUCUCCCUAGUACCUUUGUGUUCAUUGUUUCUGAUUAUUGUUUGAUAUUAACUUUAUCUUGAAAUGCAGGGAUCUCUCAAACAAUCCUCUCACUGGAGAUAUUCCUGUUAAUGGUUCCUUUUCACUUUUCACACCUAUCAGGUUUUGCUUCUUUCUCCUAAUUUAAACCUUUUGUGGACAUGUCAGAACGGGUUGAUUAAUUAUUUGGAAUUUAUUUUCAGUUUUGCCAAUACCAAUUUGACACCUCUUCCUGCAUCUCCGCCGCCUCCCAUCUCUCCUACACCGCCAUCACCUGGAGGUUCUUCGUUUUGUCUAUGUCUACUUGAAAAACAUUCAAAGACUAAGAUGUUCAUAUCAUACUUGCAGGGAGUAAUAGAAUCACUGGAGCUAUUGCUGGAGGAGUUGCUGCAGGUGCUGCACUUCUUUUCGCUGUUCCAGCCAUUGCACUUGCUUUGUGGCGUAGGAAAACACCACAAGAUCACUUCUUUGAUGUACCAGGUUAGAGAAACAUCCAUGGCUUGUUUUUCUCAUUGACACUACUUUGGCUGAGUUUUUGUUUUUGUUACAGCUGAAGAGGACCCAGAGGUGCAUUUAGGACAACUCAAGAGGUUUUCUUUACGUGAACUACAAGUUGCUUCUGAUAAUUUCAGCAACAGGAACAUAUUAGGUAGAGGAGGUUUUGGUAAAGUGUAUAAAGGAAGGUUAGCUGAUAGCACUUUGGUGGCGAUUAAAAGACUGAAAGAGGAACGUACUCAAGGUGGUGAACUACAGUUCCAGACCGAGGUUGAGAUGAUUAGUAUGGCUGUUCAUAGGAACUUGCUUCGGCUUCGUGGUUUUUGCAUGACUCCAACAGAAAGAUUGCUUGUUUAUCCUUACAUGGCUAAUGGAAGUGUUGCAUCCUGUUUAAGAGGUAACUCUCUCAUCUUGUAGCUUAUUCCUUGUCCUCCUAAUUGCUGCAAGGAAAUACCUAAAAGUUCGUUUAGGACCGGUUCUGAGUUUUUGGGGGUUACAUGCAAUUUAGUAAGAAUUUUAAAUUUUAACAAUUUUGGUACCUGUUCUGAGAUUUUGAGGUUUAUAUGCAAUUUAGUAAGAAUUUUUGUUAAAAAAUUUAAACAAGUUUGGUACCUGUUCUGAUAUUUUGAGGGUUAUAUACAAUUUAGUAAGAAUUUUAAUUUAAAAUUCUAAACAAUUUUGGAAUGUUUAUGAGAUUUUGAGGGUUUUAUGCAAUUUAGUAAGAAUUAUUUUUAAAAAAUAAACAGUUUUGGUAUCGGUUCUGAGAAUUUGGGGGGUUGCAUGCAAUUUAGCAAGAGUUUUAAUUAAAAAAAUCAACAAUUUUGGGAGCUUAUGUUUAUAUAAAUAUUUAUUAAAAUUUGGGGGGUCAUAGGUCAAUGUUUCACUUGUAUACGUUUUGAUCUGCUAGUAACGUUUUAUUCUUAUCUUGUCCUUAGACCGUCCAGAGUCUCAGCCAGCACUUGAUUGGCCAAAGAGACAGGGUAUUGCGUUAGGAUCAGCAAGGGGGCUUGCAUAUUUACAUGAUCAUUGCGACCCAAAGAUCAUACAUAGAGAUGUGAAAGCUGCAAAUAUAUUAUUGGACGAAGACUUUGAAGCUGUGGUCGGAGAUUUUGGACUUGCAAAACUCAUGGACUACAAAGACACACAUGUAACAACCGCAGUGCGUGGUACGAUUGGUCAUAUAGCACCUGAGUACCUUUCUACUGGUAAAUCAUCAGAGAAAACAGAUGUGUUUGGUUAUGGAGUCAUGCUUCUUGAGCUCAUUACUGGACAAAGAGCUUUCGAUCUUGCUCGUCUCGCCAAUGACGAUGAUGUCAUGUUACUAGACUGGGUAUAUAUUCAUGUGUUUCAGUUUCACACUUGUAUAGUUUCUUCUAUUUGUGUUAGUUAUAAGUGUUUGUUUUGUACCAUUCAACAGGUGAAAGGGUUGUUGAAAGAGAAGAAGUUGGAAGCGCUAGUAGAUGUUGAUCUUCAGGGUAAUUACAUAGACGAAGAAGUGGAGAAGCUAAUCCAAGUGGCUCUGCUCUGCACUCAGAGCUCACCAAUGGAAAGACCCAAAAUGUCUGAAGUUGUGAGAAUGCUUGAAGGAGAUGGUUUAGCUGAGAGAUGGGAAGAGUGGCAAAAGGAGGAAAUGUUCAGACAAGAUUUUAAUUACCAAAACUAUAAUCAACCAAACACUGCUUGGCUCAUUGGCGAUUCCACUUCCCACAUAGAAAACGAUUAUCCUUCGGGUCCAAGAUAAGAUUCGUAACACGAAUUAUUUCUGUUUUUAUUUUUCUUCUUAUGUAUUUAUUAAGGGUUUAGUUUAUGCUGAUCCAUAUUAUUGAGUUCUUUAAGCGAGUACAUGUAUGAAGAUUCAAUUCCAAGUUAUAUAAUCUUUUAAAGCUAGACACUUUAGUCAUCUACAAACAAAAAUCUCACAAAACUAUACUUUGUUACUAUGUUACCCAAACCAAACCAUGUAAAACUUUUUUUUUAAAUUAUGAUUGAAUUAUCUUUCUUCAUAUCAUUAGACACGACACACACAGCGAGACAAGAAAAAAAACAUAUUUAUUUUUCGUCCAUUCGUAGCUUAAGCUUUGCACACCAUAUUUUUAUUGUUUCAGUAUUUUAAAAUGAAAAUAUAUACACUAAAAAACGUAAGCAGUGCAAUAUUACGUUUGUUUUAUAUGCGUCUAUUUUUUUAUUAUAUCAUUUUUCCUCGUCAGAUAUUUGUACUUGCAAACUAUAAAUCUAAGUUUUUUAUUUGUUUCUUUUUUGAUAUUUCUAGAUAAUAUCCAAAUAGCUGGACUAGUUUUAUCUAGAGCCCACAAAACAAAAAGAGCCUCUACAAACUGAGCUGGGCCAAUUUGGACUCACCCUUAAAAGUUUAAACACGUCUUUAGAAGAACAUUAUGAUAUUAAUGAUAAAUAAAGUAAUAACGAAUGGUAUCCCACCAUUCAUCAUCAUGCUUUUUAUCAUCAUACGAACAUAACCAACAUCAUCCCCAGUUGAAGUCGUGCGCGUUUGACUUUGACCAGCUAAAGAGAGCUUGAAAUGCUCCACGUCAUCAAAACUUUUGUCGUUUUCCUCGUUUUGCAUUAAAUGCUAUUUUUAAUUUCACUGUACCAACUCAGACAAGUAUAAAACUCUUUGGCUUUGUCUUCUUUCACAUUUACUUUUUUUUCUUGUAAUAAUCUUUCUUUUUUUAAUUAUUCGUUCUUCUUCCGAUAACUUGUUUCUAUCAUCUUCCUUCCUUCGUUUUCUCUCAAUCUUAAAUCCUCCGGUUUAGUAGUCAACGGUCAGCGAUCUCGGCGUUUUCAAAUCGGAAACACAUAGCUCUGAGAGAGUCUUUGGUUAUCGAUUUGGGUUGGUCUUCUCUUCAAAUUAUAGUCAACGGUUGAAAACGCGUCAAGGGCUUUUCUCAUUGAUUCGAGAUCCUAUGAAGGAGAGUUGUUACUAGGGUUCGUUUUUAAUCUACGAGGAAUGAUGAAACCUACCUUCUUAUGGCUGCUUCUUGUUUUCGAUUUGGUUCUCAGAGUAGCUGGCAACGCCG